GCCCUAAGGUGGGAUAGCUCAGUCGGUAGAGCAUGAGACUCUCAAUCUCAAGAGUCGCAGGUUCGAGCCUCACGGGGGGCA